ensembl:snoRNA
UUGGGCCUGAAUCAAGACCAACAGUUUGUUGAAGCUGUUGUUUUCAAGCAGAUGCCUAAAGAAAUGGCUUUUCUAUGGUCUGUUGGUCAUUUCAGAAAUUUGAAAAUGUAAUGGUCAAUUCAUUAGAAAGAAGCAUGU